GCCGCCAUAGUUUACGUCAUUGUUGCCGCUGUAAUUUCUACGGUCGAAAGCUUCUGAAUCGAGUCAUUGUUUUAGAUCUAUUUUCUCCUUCGAGUUGUCGCUAGUAUUCUUUUUCUUCUCCAUAUUUCACUUGUCUCUAUUUUUCUGCUUCUUUGAAGUUUCAAUAUUAUUUAAAUGUGUUAAAUGGGUGCUUAAUAUUAUACUUGUUUCGACAAUGAAACAAU